UACGUAGGGGGCGAGCGUUGUCCGGAUUUAUUGGGCGUAAAGAGCGUGUAGGCGGCCAGGUAGGUCUGCUGUGAAAACUCGAGGCUCAACCUCGAGACGUCGGCGGAAACCAUCUGGCUAAAGUCCGGAAGAGGAGAGUGGAAUUCCUGGUGUAGCGGUGAAAUGCGCAGAUAUCAGGAAGAACACCCGUGGCGAAGGCGGCUCUCUGGGACGGUACUGACGCUGAGACGCGAAAGCGUGGGGAGCGAACAGG
rnacentral:rRNA from 1 species